rnacentral:tRNA from 1 species
GGGCGAUUAGCACAGCCGGUUAGUGCGCACGGUUCACAUCCGUGAGGUCGUUGGUUCGAAUCCAACAUCGCCCA